AGGACGAACGCUGGCGGCGUGCUUAACACAUGCAAGUGGAGCGACGAACCGGGGCUUGCCCCGGGGCAGAGCCGCGAACGGGUGAGUAACACGUGGGUAACCCACCUCGAUGACCGGGACAACCCGAGGAAACUCGGGCUAAUACCGGAUGUGAUCCUUUCCCUCAAGGGAAUUGAUGAAAGAUAGCUUCGGCCUUCGCAUCGAGACGGGCCCGCGGCCCAUUAGCUUGUUGGUGGGGUAAAGCCUACCAAGGCUUCUAUGGGUAGCUGGUCUGAGAGGACGAUCAGCCACACUGGGACUGAGACACGGCCCAGACUCCUACGGGAGGCAGCAGUGGGGAAUCUUGCACAAAUGCGCGAAAGCGUGAUGCAGCAACGCCGCGUGGGGAAGACGGCCUCGGUUGUAACCCGUUACUACGUUGGACGAAGCUUCGACGGUAGGAAUAGACCGGCCGGACGUGACGGUACCGUUCCAAGAACGAAAGACCCGGCUAACUACGUA
rnacentral:rRNA from 1 species